rnacentral:tRNA from 1 species
GGCUUGGUAGCUCAGUUGGUUAGAGCAUCCAGCCCGGAUAGUGGAAGGUCUCUGGUUCGAUCCCAGACCAGGUCA